rnacentral:rRNA from 1 species
UGAUAUGCUUGUCUUAAAGAUUAAGCCAUGCAUGCCUCAGUACAAACUGUUGUAGAGUGAAACCGCGAAUGGCUCAUUAAAUCAGUUAUGGUUCCUUGGACCUAACAGUUUACUUGGAUAACUGUGGUAAUUCUAGAGCUAAUACAUGCAUUUCAGUCGUGACCCGAAAGGGGAAGGACGCUUUUAUUAGAUCAAAACCAAUCGGCCGGCUCGCCCGGUCGUUCCGUUUUGGUGACUCUGGAUAACCUUGGGCUGAUCGCACGGUCUCCGCACCGGCGACGUGUCCUUCAAAUGUCUGCCUUAUCAACUGACGAUGGUAGGUUCUGCGCCUACCAUGGUUGUAACGGGUAACGGGGAAUCAGGGUUCGAUUCCGGAGAGGGAGCCUGAGAAACGGCUACCACAUCCAAGGAAGGCAGCAGGCGCGCAAAUUACCCACUCCCGGCACGGGGAGGUAGUGACGAAAAAUAACGAUACGGGACUCAUCCGAGGCCCCGUAAUCGGAAUGAGAACAUUUUAAAUCCCUUAACGAUUACCCAUUAGAGGGCAAGUCUG